rfam:Alkaliphilus metalliredigens QYMF, complete genome.
UAUUAGUAAAGGCAAAACCAUUGAAAGAUGGUGACGCAAAGCCACGAGUCUAAGUCGUUAUACGAUAUGAUAGUCGGGUUGCCAAU